rnacentral:rRNA from 1 species
CGAAGGGGGCUAGCGUUGCUCGGAAUUACUGGGCGUAAAGGGCGCGUAGGCGGAUAUCUAAGUCGGGGGUGAAAGCCCAGGGCUCAACCCUGGAACAGCCUUCGAUACUGGGUAUCUUGAGUACGGGAGAGGUGUGUGGAACUCCGAGUGUAGAGGUGAAAUUCGUAGAUAUUCGGAAGAACACCAGUGGCGAAGGCGACACACUGGCCCGUUACUGACGCUGAGGCGCGAAAGCGUGGGGAGCAAACAGGAUUAGAUACCCUGGUAGUCCACGCUGUAAACGAUGAGUGCUAGUUGUCGGCAUGCAUGCAUGUCGGUGACGCAGCUAACGCAUUAAGCACUCCGCCUGGGGAGUACGGUCGCAAGAUUA